rnacentral:rRNA from 1 species
AACGAACGCUGGCGGCAUGCCUAACACAUGCAAGUCGAACGAGACCUUCGGGUCUAGUGGCGCACGGGUGCGUAACGCGUGGGAACCUGCCCUUAGGUUCGGAAUAACUCCCCGAAAGGGGUGCUAAUACCGGAUAAUGUCUUCGGACCAAAGAUUUAUCGCCUUUGGAUGGGCCCGCGUUGGAUUAGCUAGUUGGUAGGGUAAAAGCCUACCAAGGCGACGAUCCAUAGCUGGUCUGAGAGGAUGAUCAGCCACACUGGGACUGAGACACGGCCCAGACUCCUACGGGAGGCAGCAGUGGGGAAUAUUGGACAAUGGGCGAAAGCCUGAUCCAGCAAUGCCGCGUGAGUGAUGAAGGCCUUAGGGUUGUAAAGCUCUUUUACCCAGGAUGAUAAUGACAGUACCGGGAGAAUAAGCUCCGGCUAACUCCGUG